UUUCACAUACCCAUAUCUUGCUUGAAAAUGAAAAUGUCGAAAAAUCGGCAACGCUUAAGCACAGAUUAUGUUCUUACCUGAAAGUUGUAUAAUAGGUCAAUUCACUCUAGUAUCAAAACUAACAGAACACUAUUGAAAUUAGUGAACGGCAAUUUGCCAUGUCGUGCGUGUGUAAGACGGAGACAACGAUUAUAUAGGUAGCGUCCUCUUAAGAUAAUAAAAACAUAUAAGCACCAAAAUAAAAUAAUUUAAUUCAUUAGCUAUUCCUGGAAUUAUUACGAUUGCAACAAUGCCGAUAACAACUACAGCGCGAUGGAAAAUAUAUGCGAAUGUAUUUAUUGUUAUGCGACCGGUUGUUACUUGUUCUAUACACCCGUAUGGGUUGCUCGUAAAAAUAGAACAAAUAUAAAAUUCUCACAAAUUAUAAUCAAUGUACAAUCCGUCGGGUUACAUUAAUACGCAUACGCUGUUUAUGUUGUCUGUUGAACACUGCUCUUAACGUACAACAGUAACUUCGUCGUUUUAAUUUGUUUUAAUGCAAUUUUAAAAAAUGGAACACCAACAAUAUCAUUACAAAUCAAACGGUACUAAAAACAAUGUUAAGUAAGUUUUUUAUAUAUUACGUGCACGUAUUUACUACCUAAGUAUGAACGUUUUUACCAAACUAGUUUUUUUUUACCAUUUAGAUAUUAUACUUGCUCCAGUCCAAAUGUCACCUGUAAUGGUACAAUUAAAAGGAAAAUUGAUGGAACAAUUGUUUGCGGUAAAUCACACACCCAUGAUCCAUUUCUUCAAACAAUUGAAAAAAAAAAAUUUCGGAAGGUACUUAUUGAUAGAGCAGAAUUCGAGACUCAACAUUUGAAAAUUAUCUAUGAUGAAGAAGCUAUCAGAAAUCCAAAUAUGGCUUACACCUAUCCUUGGACAUCAGCCGAGUCAUCAAUGCGUAAGGCAAGACGUGCACAUGUUCCAGUACUACCUGAAACUCUUAAUGCUUUGGGAGAGAUGUUGGAAGAACAGGAAAACUUGAUUCAGUGCAAGGGUCAUCGAUUUUUUCAGGAGUGUAUAGUAGAUGGCAAUGGGCAAGCUCAUGUUAUGUUUGCCUGUUCAGAGGUCAUCAAUGAUGUAAUUUUAAAUGAAGGUACGGAAUUGCAUGCUGAUGCAACUUUCAAAGUCAUACCAUCUAUGCCCAAAUGCCGGCAGUUGUUUAUAAUGCAUAUCAUUAUUCAAAAUCACUCUGUUCCAAUAUGUUAUAUUAUAAUGGAAAGUAAAACUCAAAAUGCUUAUCUAACGGUAUUAACGAGUUUUAAAAGUAUUUUUCCAAAUGUCAAGCCUUCAGUUAUAAUGACUGACUAUGAAGUUGGAUUAAAAAAUGCAUUUUCAAUUGUAUACCCUGAUGCCAUUUUAGUUUCGUGCUGGUUCCAUUAUGUACAGGCAAGUAUUUAGCAUAAUUCACUAUAUUAACGUUAAGAAUUAUUUUAAAACGUUUAUUCAUUUAUUAGAGUUUGUGGAAAAAUAUAAAAAGGUUGCAUUAUACAACAUACAUAAGGGACAAUGAACUAGCAAAAAAAUGUUUAAAAAUGGUGAUGGCACUUGCAUUGCUUCCUGCAGAACAAAUUGAGUUGGGCUUUCAAGACGUAAAGACAUAUGCUAGAAUGAAUAAUGUAAACUUGGCAAGGUUUUUCACUUAUUUUUCUAGGUAAUAUUUAUUAUGAAGUACAUUCUUAAAUAAUUUUAUUUCAAAUAAAAUGUGUAAAUAUAAAAAUUGUAAUAAUAAUGAUAAUAAUGUAAGCAUUGGAUAAACCGGACAGGGCCAAAUGUUUUUUCAGUAUACGGUCAAGCUAGGCGCACCAACAACAACAUUGAAAGCUUCCAUGGUAAAAUGAAAGAUAAGCUUCAAGUAUGUCAUCCGAAUCUAUGGAAAUUUCUGGAUCAUCUGAGUGGUUAUAGUAAAUUACAACAUAUUAUUAUUGAACAACUAUCAAGAGGGAUGCAAGUUACAAGAUCAGUGAAGACUAAAUAUAUCCUGAACUCUAAACGAAUAAAAAUAGCUUCAGAUCAACUAGAACUGGGAAUUUUGACCAGAAAUGAAUUUUUAGUGAAAUGCUCACAUACGGUUGAUGGUUAUAUUUUAAGAGAGGGUAAUUGGAACAGAAAUGUCAAUGGUAGGUUACUCACUUUUACUAAUAUUUGAAAAGAGACAGUGUGUAUUUUUUGUAUUUUGAUAAACUCAAAUAGUACUAAACCCAGUGUCAGCCUGGAUCAUUAUUGGGUUCUUAGCACAGUAGUUUUAAAUAGGCAGCUGUGCAAACAUUUUGAUUUUUUGAUUUGUAAAAGGUUAACUUAAAUUCCGAGAUACAAAUAUAAUUGAUAACUAGUUCCCAAAAUUAUACCUAUAUUAGUAUACUAGCUGUUACGCCCGACGUUGUCCAGGCCAAAUAUUUGUAUUUUUAAUAAAUAUAUUUGUACACAAUUUAUAUAUCAUAUUUCUUUCAAUUAUAACAUUAAUAUAAUAUAUAAUGAAUUGCAACCAUUUAGAUUGACAAAAAAAAAAUUAUUUUUCGUAUGCUAAAAAAAUCAUGUCUGAGCUCUUUACCUAUCUACAGCCUAUAUGAGUUGAAAAAUCAAGCUGCACUCUCCAAUUUUCAAGUAAAUAAUCUAUUGAAAUAACUUUUAUUGAAAAUGUUCCAGUCAUUUUUUGAGGCUAUUAAUUUCGGAUAAACCAACAUCAUUUUAGUUGUGCCUUUAACCCAAUUACGCCCGCCAAAAAAUUUAAAAAAAAACAUUUAGAUUGUAUAAGUGUAUCUUGGUUUUGGUGUACCUACUUAGGUACCUCAGUUCACAGAUAAAUUUGAGUAGCUUUGCGAACUAAAUCGACCAAGGUGAACAAUUCAUUUUUGGUGGAUUGGGUAUAGCAUACUUGGCACUUAGUAUAAAUCGAACGUGGUUCAAACUACUCUUUAAACAUUCCUGAUAUCUCAAAGAACCAUUCGAAAUUUUCACAAAAUCGGUCAAGUAGUUUUUGAGAACCUAUAUAUAAUAGCCACCAAUAUACAUAUUCAACUCUCAUAUUUGUUUUAAGAUAUAAUUUCUUUAUUCGAAACCAUAAGCGUGCAACAAUUUGAUGGAUACUUUUACCUCAUCUGCCAGAGUAACUAAUGGUAAACAUUUAAUAUACUAAUUUUUACUAAUUAUUUAUCCUAUAACCAAUAGCAACAAUUUAUAAACAAAAAUGUCUAUCGUAAAUGUCAAAAUUCCUAUUUGAGCACCUCCCGGGCCGGGGGUGUUUCUCUUCUAUAUUAUGCAUGUCAUAUAUAUAUAUAAACUUUCCUCUUGAAUCACUGUAUCAAUUAAAAAAACGCAUCAAAAUCCUUUUCAUAGUUUUAAAGAUCUAAGCAUACAUAAAGAAAAAGGGACUUUGUUUUAUAAUAUAUAAAACAUAUUGUUGGGCCCCCUACAGAAAACAAAACCCCAUCCUCCAGUGGUUGCUGGGUAGCCGGGUGGGCCAGACUGACACUGACUAAGGUAUUAUUGAAGUAGUUUUAAUCAUUAUUUAAAAAAAAUCAAGGAGAAAGUAUAACUUUAUACUUCUUAACAUGGAAUUCCAUCCCUGAACAUGAGCUAAACUUUUUAUAAGUAAAAGAUUGGGAUUAAUAAUAAACCGUUCAAUGACAGUAAAUCAGCGCCAUUUUCAACUGAAUAAUAUCUAUAAUUUUUUAUUUUUAGAUGAAUUUUUAUCUUCAGAUGAUGAUGACAUUGCUCCCUUACCAUUGCAACAAAUAAACGAACCAAACAUCGGUAAAGUAAAAUCUUUAUUAAUGUCUAUUCUUAUUUAUUUUUAUUUUUAGUUAGCUAAUAAGGUGUACUUGA